rnacentral:rRNA from 1 species
UACGGAGGGGGCUAGCGUUGUUCGGAAUUACUGGGCGUAAAGCGCACGUAGGCGGCUUUGCAAGUUAGAGGUGAAAGCCCGGGGCUCAACUCCGGAAUUGCCUUUAAAACUGCAUCGCUAGAACGUCGGAGAGGUAAGUGGAAUUCCGAGUGUAGAGGUGAAAUUCGUAGAUAUUCGGAAGAACACCAGUGGCGAAGGCGACUUACUGGACGACUGUUGACGCUGAGGUGCGAAAGCGUGGGGAGCAAACAGG